AAGAAACCAGAAAAGAUUCGGUAACACUUUAAUUGACAUUUCUACAUAAGAGUGACAUGACACUGUCAUGAACACAUGACACUCACAUGACACUCACAUGACCUUAACCCUAACCCCAACAAUAACCCCAACUUGACAUGAGAAAACAGAAUGACACU